CUACGGGGUGCAGCAGUCGAGAAUCUUCGGCAAUGGACGAAAGUCUGACCGAGCGACGCCGCGUGCGGGAUGAAGGCCUUCGGGUUGUAAACCGCUGUCAGUUGGGAGGAAAUCACAUGGGGUUCUCUCCAUGUGUUGACCUAUCUUCAGAGGAAGGACGGGCUAAGUUCGUGCCAGCAGCCGCGGUAAGACGAACCGUCCAAACGUUAUUCGGAAUCACUGGGCUUAAAGGGUGCGUAGGCGGCCUUGUAAGUUGGGUGUGAAAUCCCUCGGCUCAACCGAGGAAUUGCGCCCAAUACUGCAGGGCUAGAGGGAGACAGAGGUGAGCGGAACUUGUGGUGGAGCGGUGAAAUGCGUUGAUAUCACAAGGAACACCUGUGGCGAAAGCGGCUCACUGGGUCUCUUCUGACGCUGAGACACGAAAGCUGGGGGAGCGAACGGGAUUAGAUACCCGGGUAGUC
rnacentral:rRNA from 1 species